rnacentral:snoRNA from 14 species
AGUGCCCUCAGGUAAUGUGGUGGUUGCGAUCCCGUCAGCACCGCAGGUUCAAGAGGCACGAGA